GUCAGCGGCGGUUGAAUUGCCAUGGCAAUGCGGUGGGCGCGCGCUUGUCGUGUUGGUCUCUUGGGAGCACUCAGUUUUAUUCACUGCUGUAUCCUCAGUGCCUAGGACGAUGCUUGGAACGUGAUUCAUUGAUUCCAGGUAAAUCAGAGGAACAAGCAACAUGAACAGAAAUAUGUAGAAAAAGCUAUUAUGCAGAAGCAUAAUUGUUGUUUCAGAAGUCCAGCAUCUGGUGCACUUAACAAUAGAGAAUAUAUUAAACUCUUUCCAAAAUAACCUGUUGUUCCUACCUGUGUUGUAAGUGUUUUGUUUGUUUUUAAGUAAAUAUUGGUGAUUUGUUGCCAAAAACCUAAACUGUUUGUUGCUGUCAACUUAAAUAACGAACAGAGAGAGGCUCUCUAAAAGAAAAUGGCAUUUAUUCAGGAAUAGAGCACUGCAAUGAGAAAAUGCAUGCGAUAGUUAACUGUGUGUAUCCUGGGAGAUAGAGGAAGACAAAGGUCUUUAAAGGAAAAAUGAGGAGGGUUACAUAAUUGUUUUGAGAUAAUUAUUUUUGACUACAAGGAUCAGUAACAAAGGUGACACCAGUCCCAGGUUGGACAGGCAGGUGCUCGGCAGGCAUUGCAGAAGUAUUUUUUGUGUAAGAUUGAGAUGGCCUUUGUGCAGGAUUGUGGUUUUGGAAUCUUCUGUGAUCGUUUUUGCUAUCAGGCAUUUAUGCUUGCGAACUCUUUAUGGCCUUCCCUGUGUCUAUUUUGAUUCCACCUUUCUCAUUGCCCACUCUAAACUGUAAUUCUGCUUUUAUGUUGACUGAGAUCAGGAGAAGAAUUUGCAAACUUAUAUCCUGAGACAGAACAGUAAUGAGGAGUAUCGUGUUCCUUACCUAAUGUAUAAUAUUGGGCUCAGAAGCAGUUGUCUUUUUUAUUUGUUGAACGUUGUAUUAAGUUGAGAAUGCAGCUGCCAUUAAAGAUUAAGAGUAAUCCUUGAGAAGGAAGAGUACAAAGCCUGUGUUUUGCUAAAUCAUAGUGAAGUUGCCGUGUUUUUGUAGAAUAUGAUAAGAACAUACAGUGUGUGAAAUGCUAAGGAUAUGGAAAAGCAUGUUGGUGCUCUUUCAAGGAGCUAUUUUGAUAGCAUGAGCAAGGGCAGGAAACAGAUCAUGUAUCUGAACCAAAGAAAUUGAAACAAUACAUCUAAAUUUAAAUUUUUAAUAAAACAACCCAAAAUAUAGUGAAAUACUUAGCACCAAACAUCAGUGAUCUUAAGAAGCAAAGAAAACAGUAUUCAAAAUACUUCGUCCAAAGUAUCAGACUUUUGCAUAAAGUUUGGCAUUUUGGUUUUGAGAUUCCUCUUUAGUCCUAUGAUGAAAACAUGACAAAAUAUACAUCUUAAAUAAACAGUUGUCAUCAGUCUGCAUCUAUGACCAGAUGUUUUGGGUGUUUUGAGUAAAUGGCCUGUCUUAGCAUGUGAUGGCUUCCUGCCUCGUGAACAUUAGUGAAGAGGUGAGGGUGGGAAGUACUCAGGAACUUCUGAGAAUCCUGGGAUUUGAGUCACAGGAUUGGUUAAACCCCAAACUAAAUAAUCAUGCCGUGUAAACAUGCUGACUCAGGCAUCCUAAAAAUGUUUUUCUUCCUUGUGUUUAUUUAUAGAUAAGGCUUUACUAUAUUUGGUAGAACUCCUGUUUUCUAUCCACUUCUCCAAAAACAAAUUCGCCAUUGAAUUCAUCGUGUAAACCUCCACAUAUCUGAGAUAGCUUCUUCCGUUUAUCAGCCCCAAAUGAAGAACUAGAGUUCAGAUUAUUGAACUGAAGGUGAUGCUUUAUCUGAGCACUCCACAUGUCAGUGUUUCUGUACCUUUACUUUUUUAAAAAAUUAUUUUUUAAAAAGAUGAGGUCUCAGUAGGUUGCCCAGACUGGUCUCCAACACCUGGUCUCGAAUACUCCUCCCGCCUUGCCCUCCCAAAGUGCUAGGGUUACAGGUGUGAGCCGCCGCACUGGCCCUGUUCAUUUUAUGCUCAGUGCUGCAUUCUUGUUUGUUCUUAGAAAAUGAGAGGGUGUGUUUGCAUGAGAACGUGUGGUACAGAAGUGUCUAUCUGAGCUGGCCAGAACAUUCUGCAAAUGUCAUAUUAAGGGCAAAAUGGCUGCUUGGAUUGUACAAGGGGCCGAACCACCACGCAUUCCUAAGCUAAAAUAGCAGAUUCUAUUGACCUGAGCUGGAACCUGAAAGCUUCCUCUGUGAUGCACUGAGCUAUCAUCUAGUAGUUUUAGAGCAUCACUGCAACCCUGGAACUACCUGGAUUCCCUGAUAACACCAAAAAUAAUGUAAUGUAUAAGAAACUGAAGCAAAAUGCAGCCCUCAGAAUUUUUCUAGUCCCUAUUGUGGAGAUAGAAAUGCUUGUUGGAUUUCGACUACCUCUAUCUGACAAGGCAGCUGGUUUAUUAAUACUUCUUUGGCCGAGGCUUUGCUCAUCCCUGCCGCCCACAUCUUGGAGACAGGAAGGCAGGCCAGCCUCCACUGUGUCACACAAGUCCUGCUCCCUUCACCUGCCCUGAGUCACUGGGUCACUGAAGAGAAAGGGCAUGCUGUAGAUCUGGUUAGUUCAGUCUAGAAUAGACCGUGGGAGAUAGGUGAGCAUUUAUGAAAAGCCCAGAUGCCAUGACAACCCAGUUUUGUCCUGGAAUUUGGGUGGAGGUGUAGUCCUGGGUUCUGGUCUUAAACGUCGCUGAGUACUUGAGUUCUUUUUGAUUUUCCUCAGAUUUUUCCACAUCUAUUUUCCCCUUUCUGGAUUUUGGAAAAAUCCAAAUUGAUGUCUGCCGAAGUUUGUAUAUAAUUGAAGAAUUUCUUCAUAUAAAGGCUGCAGCGUUGUAAGAAAUCUGUGUGUACUUUCUCUGCUCAUAAAUAUUUACCCCCAAAUGUUAUCAUCUUGCAUAGAUUGUACUUUUUUGUUAAAUUUUUGUGUGUAUACAUGAAUUCAUUCGAAGCAUACAUUAACCCUAGGAUAACAGUUCUCAGACAUUUUGGUCUCCAAAUUAUGUUUUUUUCUAAUAUAAUAUGUUGAUAGACAUUAGCACUUGUGUCUCUAAGUUUUGUUGCCUUCACAUGCAAUUUCUGUUUUCCUGCUGAUUCAUAGCAUCACCAACAAGUCCUGUAGAAAAUCAACUAUCCCAGUUAUCUUUGCUGGCUCUGCAUAUAUACUAGAUACACAGAUGAUUUUUGGGCUUUGUAAAUUAAAAUGACAAAAGUUCAAUCCAGAGAUCUAAUAGCUGGACGUGGUGGCUCACAUCUGUAAUCCCAGCACUUUGGAAGGCCAAGGCGGGCAGAUCACCUAAGGUCAGGAGUUCAAGACCAGCCUGGCCAACAUGGCGAAACCCCAUCUCUACUAAAAAUACAAAAAAUUAGCCGGACGUGGUAGCGGGCACCUGUAAUCCCAGCUGCUUGGAGACUGAGGCAGGAGAAUUGCUGUAACCCAGGAGGCGGAGGUUGCAGUGAGCUGAGAUCUCGCCACUUCACUGCAUACUCCAGCCUGGGCAACAGAGCGAGACUCCAACUCAAAAAAACAGACAAACACACAGAAAACCAAAAAUCUAAUAAAAAAAAAUCUAAGCCUAUAGCCUGCUGUUUCUGAAAGCUAUGUUCCUCUUGUCCCCACGCUGCUUUCUCGCAUUGAGGGCCAAGCUCCUCGGCUGCGUGCCUUGAAAGUCAUACACCUGUUGGAUUUCAUUCUGUUGCAAGCCUUAUUUAAUAACAAGGACAUGGGCCUGAAUCAUAUCUCCCGGAAAGUGGUAUUGAGAAUUAAGUGGUAAUCGUAAAACUUGUUAAGCCUUUUGGUUAAAGGUGAUGAAAGAAUUGUUUAUUUUCCCCAACUGCCUGUUUAAUGGCAGUGUUUUGUAGUAUUAUGUGUUUCUUUUUUUUUUAACCAGCAGAUAGUUUCUAUAACUCAAAUUAUUACAUUCCAGAGACCUGAAAAGGUCCCUAGAUCGCAGAAUAGAAAGAGUAAGGAGGCAGUGCUGUUGUGUAUCCAACCUGUUAGGAAGAUUUAUCUGUUAGCAGAAGUUUAUGUCUCCCUCUGAUAGUCACUGAGUUUGCAGCCAGAAGAACAUUUAGGAAAUUUAAUUGUUUUCUUUUGAAUAAUUGCUAAGAUGUAUUGCCAAGGCCAUAAAUACACUUUAUCAUGAGUCAGAAUUUCACUUUGUACUUCAGUCUUUGAGCUUUAAUAAUUUCAUGCCUUCAAAAUGCAGUCUUGCUAUUGUGGGAACCCAUUGCUCCAGCCUUCUUCAAUCGUUCAUCUAGGCCUGGCGCAGUGGCUCAUGCCUGUAAUCCCAGCACUUUGGGAGACCGAGGCGGGUGGAUCACCUGAGGUCAGGAGUUCGAGACCAGCCUGGCCAACAUGGUGAAACCCCGGCUCUACUAAAAAUGCAAAAUUAGGCGAGCAUGGUGGUGGGUGCCUGUAGUCCUAGCUACUUGGGAGGCUGAGGCAGGAAAAUUGCUUGAGCCCAGGAGGUGGAGGUUGCAGUGAGUCAAGAUCGCACCACUGCACUCCAGCCUGGGCGACAGAGCAAGACUCUGUCUCAGAAAUAAACAAAUAAAUAGAAAACAGUUCAUCUAGCAAAAAAGAAAUUCACCCCAGUUUAAUUGCAGGGAGGGGAGGGAUGAUUCAAGUUAGAAAUGGGAUGAGGCAUUAAUUAUUCAUUUUCCUUUGCUGGCAAAAAAAAAUGGAGGAUUUUAAAUUUUUUUGUUCUCCUUUUACAGCCAGAAAAAUCCUAUUUGCUAAUUCUAAACUUAAUAUUUUUUGAAAGGGUAUCCUAGUGAGAUAUUGUUCAUUGAUAUCAAAUUUUAGUGAGCCACAGUUUCAAAGAGUUUUAAUAAAAGACUAUCAAAAGACUGGGUGUGGUGGCUCAUGCCUGUAAUCCCAGCACUUUGGGAGGCCGAGGCAGAUGGAUCACCUGAGGUCAGGAAUUUGAGACCAGCCUGGCCAACAUGGUGAAACCCCAUCUCUACUAAAAAUACAAAAAAUUAGCCGGGCGUGGUGGCGGGUGCCUGUAAUCCAAGCUACUGAGGAGGCUGAGGCCGGAGAAUCACUUGAACCCAGGAGGCAGAGGUUGCAGUGAGCCAAGAUCACGCCAUUGCACUCCAGCCUGGGCAACAAGAGCAAAAGUUCAUCUUAAAAAAAAAAAAAAAGACUAUCAUAAAACAAUUACAUUUUGUUUAAAAAAAAAGGAGUUUUUUUUGCAUAAGCUUUAUUACAUAGGCAAAAUUGGGUGACUUGAGGAGAAGCUGUUAUAUUGGCAAACCUUCUUCCCUCUCCAGAUAGACGGUGAUCUGGCAUUUUCAUAUCAUAGCUGUAUGAGUGCAGCCUUGAGGGGACAUGCCAGUCUAGUCGAUGUGAAAUCAAUGGGAUAUUCCCGUUGGUUCAUCUCUUCAUACCAUGCAGCCACAGAUCCGUGAUAAUCCACACAUACUAUUGGCUGUCUAAUUACAGAGCAAAUAAUAUCCUCUUACUUGAAGGAAUUUUUACUUGUGUUCAGAAAAAUAACACAUCUUUCAAAGUCAUUCUGGUUUUGAGAAAUACAUUUUAUAAUAGAAUGAGUCUCUGUCUUUCCUGGCAAGGCAGGUAGGGGGCACUAGUCUAUUUUACUGAGGAAGCUGGGGCAAGAGCCAAUAAGGGCUGCCCCUGUAAUUAUACAUUCUCUGGGAAUUAAUCAUUUUGCUCAAUUCUAGGAAAAGUCUCUCAGUUCUUACCCAAGUGCUAUUCUUAUUUUAGGGAAUAGCUAACUUACUUAGUUUUCUAAUAUAACCACAACAGAUCAGAAGCAGUAAAUUUUAAAAGGCUAACACUAAAAGCAGAAAGAAACAAUGACUGAACAGUAAGUGAAAGGUGAAGCACUAAGAGGCAGACAUUCUGGGAUUCUUCUUAAAAAGCAGCAUUCUGGGGCAUUCGAUGUAAGGAGGGGCGAACAGUCUUCACCCGUGACUGUUCCUUGUGCACUAGUGCCUUGUAUUAUGCUUCCGAGCAAGAAAAAGAAAUUCUUUUCCCCAUGCUCUGAAUAGGAAGUCAAGGAAAC
rnacentral:lncRNA from 1 species